CGGGGGGUGCGAGCGUUGUCCGGAAUCACUGGGCGUAAAGGGCGCGUAGGUGGUUUGAUAAGGGUGUGGUGAAAGCCCGGGGCUCAACCCCGGGUCUGCCGUGCCGACUGUCAAACUCGAGGGCUGUAGAGGCAGACGGAAUUCCGGGUGUAGCGGUGGAAUGCGUAGAGAUCCGGAGGAAGACCGGUGGCGAAGGCGGUCUGCUGGGCAGUUUCUGACACUGAUGCGCGACAGCGUGGGGAGCAAACAGGAUUAGAUACCCUGGUAGUCCACGCCGUAAACGAUGGGUACUAGGUGCCUGGGGGAGCGACCCUCUGGGUGCCGGCGCUAACGCAGGAAGUACCCCGCCUGGGGAGUACGACCGCAAGGUUG
rnacentral:rRNA from 1 species